UCCCCACCUGAACCUUCACUUGAGACCUCGUCCUUGGCCAUCCUCUACAUCUGGAUUCAUGAUACAGAGAAACUUGAGUAAUGAUGACAAUAGCAGUCCAGUGUGCAUGGAUGCUGACGUGGAUGCUGUCUCCCAUUCUUACCACUGGAUGGGAAGAAAUGAUAGAUGCAAUCCAGCCAUUGUGUUCUCGACUCUCAGUUCCAUCUUCUCAACUGACAUUGUCUUCCAAAGUCCGUGCCACACCACAGCCUGGAACAUCUCCCAAAGUGGUAUCUUGAUGCAAUGGUAGAGCUCAUGUCACAGUAUUGUAUGUCUCAGGUUUGAAUAACUCACCAGUGAAGUCAUCUUGACCUGGACAGAAAUUGAAUCCUCCCGAGAAUCCCAGGAGCUGGGUAGGUGAUCCUUCCCCAGAUGAGCCUUCCCUUGAAAUCUCUGCCAGGCAUCUGACCCAGAGAAACUAUUAAGGCAAAAAGUCUCAAGAUACAGGAUUUUCUGUCUUCAGAGAGCUACACUCCGCUGCAAACUUUCAAGUAACACUUCACCAUUUCUAUCUUCCUUCUCCAUGGGAUCUUUGAGCCAUAAUUUAUAAAAUCACCUCUACAUCUCUUGUAUUUUUGUUAUGUUUAAUAACCACUUGAGGUCUCUCUAGGGACAGUGACUAUAAAUUAUCACCCUGCCCAACAGGACUUCAGGAAACUGUGUCCUGGAUGUUUACAGUGUGCCUUUCAUGGGAUACUUAUUUAUCCUGGUGGAUACCCCAAAGCAUAAGUGUACAAUCUUUGACCCAGCAUCCUUCUCACAGGAUAUUUGUUUAUACCGUCAGACACCCUUGUUGCACUUGUCGGACCU
rnacentral:lncRNA from 10 species